rnacentral:rRNA from 1 species
AGGCCCCUUCGGGGGUACACGAGUGGCGAACGGGUGAGUAACACGUGAGCAACCUGCCCUUGACUCUGGGAUAACAGUUGGAAACAGCUGCUAAUACCGGAUACGACCCUGGAUGACAUCGUCCGGGGUGGAAAGCGCUUUAGCGGUCAAGGAUGGGCUCGCGGCCUAUCAGCUUGUUGGUGAGGUAACGGCUCACCAAGGCUUCGACGGGUAGCCGGCCUGAGAGGGCGACCGGCCACACUGGGACUGAGAUACGGCCCAGACUCCUACGGGAGGCAGCAGUGGGGAAUAUUGCACAAUGGGCGCAAGCCUGAUGCAGCAACGCCGCGUGCGGGAUGACGGCCUUCGGG